CUGUUCUGUUUGAACAUUUGGCAUUUCAUCCACAGGACAUGACUGCAUGGUAUCAGAACCUGAAGUAAAAGUAUCAACAGACACUAAUUUUGAAGGUUCCUUCAGAUAAUUUUGCUCUGGCAGUGCUAUCUGUACCAUCACCAUAUGGAGAGCUACCAGUGCCAUUGGUAUAUAUAAAGUCAUCAUGUGCACUUCUGAUGAACUCUUGUUCAUGGGCUGCAAAUGAGUGAUCAAUUAACUGAUUUGGUUCCCUUCUACAUACUGGAUUACUAUCAUCAGCUGAGAGUAGUGAAGGACCAGAUGGAAAUGGUUGACUGCAUGAAGUGGUAAAGACACCAGAUUUUGAAGGACUAAAUGAUUGUGAAGUUUUAUCAGUUUCAGAUAUCUGGUAGUUUGAUGAUUGACAAUUUAAGGUAUCUAUACAUUCAACUGAGUUCGAGCCCUUUGUAAAAUUUCCAGAGGAGAAAAUACCACCAUUCAUUGCGUCAGAAAAUAAGAACCGGCAACAUUCAUCAUCUGAUAUUAAGAUGUGGUCUGGUUUAGCAGAACUUGCAGUGAUAUUUCCCAUGGAAGUUUGAAAUGAAACAUUCACCAGUUCAUGGCUUUCAUUUGCAGCUAUACAAUGAGUUGAUAACCCUGAUGACUCCUGCCCUAGUUCUAGAG
rnacentral:misc_RNA from 1 species